UUUAUAUUGGCAGAUUAGUGCAUUGAAUUUAGAAUUCAAAAAUAUAAUAUUAAUUAUAUAUAAAA
rnacentral:tRNA from 1 species